GAUGAACGCUGGCGGCGUGCCUAAUACAUGCAAGUCGAGCGAACAGACGAGGAGCUUGCUCCUCUGACGUUAGCGGCGGACGGGUGAGUAACACGUGGAUAACCUACCUAUAAGACUGGGAUAACUUCGGGAAACCGGAGCUAAUACCGGAUAAUAUAUUGAACCGCAUGGUUCAAUAGUGAAAGACGGUUUUGCUGUCACUUAUAGAUGGAUCCGCGCCGCAUUAGCUAGUUGGUAAGGUAACGGCUUACCAAGGCGACGAUGCGUAGCCGACCUGAGAGGGUGAUCGUCCACCCUGGAACUGUGACGCGGUCCAGACUCCUACGGGAGGCAGCAGUAGGGAAUCUUCCGCAGUGGGCGAGAGCCUGACGGAGCAGCGCCGCGUGAGUGAUGAAGGUCUUCGGAUCGUAAAACUCUGUUAGUAGGGAAGAACAAAUGUGUAAGUAACUAUGCACGUCUUGACGGUACCUAAUCAGAAAGCCACGGCUAACUACGUG
rnacentral:rRNA from 1 species